AACGAACGCUGGCGGCAGGCCUAACACAUGCAAGUCGAGCGGACCCUUCGGGGUUAGCGGCGGACGGGUGAGUAACGCGUGGGAAUAUGCACUUCUCUACGGAAUAGUCCUGGGAAACUGGGGGUAAUACCGUAUACGCCCUUUGGGGGGAAGAUUUAUCGAGGAAGGAGUAGCCCGAGUUGGAUUAGGUAGUUGGUGGGGUAAUGGCCUACCAAGCCGACGAUCCAUAGCUGGUUUCAGAGGAUGAUCAGCCACACUGGGACUGAGACACGGCCCAGACUCCUACGGGAGGCAGCAGUGGGGAAUCUUAGACAAUGGGGGCAACCCUGAUCUAGCCAUGCCGCGUGAGUGAUGAAGGCCUUAGGGUUGUAAAGCUCUUUCAGCUGGGAAGAUAAUGACGGUACCAGCAGAAGAAGCCCCGGCUAACUCCGUG
rnacentral:rRNA from 1 species